GAUGAACGCUGGCGGCGUGCCUAAUACAUGCAAGUCGAGCGAACAGACGAGGAGCUUGCUCCUCUGACGUUAGCGGCGGACGGGUGAGUAACACGUGGAUAACCUACCUAUAAGACUGGGAUAACUUCGGGAAACCGGAGCUAAUACCGGAUAAUAUAUUGAACCGCAUGGUUCAAUAGUGAAAGACGGUUUUGCUGUCACUUAUAGAUGGAUCCGCGCCGCAUUAGCUAGUUGGUAAGGUAACGGCUUACCAAGGCAACGAUGCGUAGCCGACCUGAGAGGGGGGUAGGCGCCACGGGGAACUGAGCAACGGCCCAGGCCCCCAGGGGGGGCAGAGAUGGGGAACUUGCCGAAAGGGGGGAAACCUUGCGGGACCAACGCCGGGUGGGUGAAGAAGGUCUGCGGAUGGGAAAACUCUUUUUUGGGGGAAAAAAAAAUGUGAAAGUAAAUAAGCCGGUUUUGCGGGAACCAAAAAAGAAACCCCGGCUAAAUACGGG
rnacentral:rRNA from 1 species